UGCAAAUCUGUCAAAAUACGUAGAUACUUGGCUACAAGAUUUAGUUAAGAAAAUACCUUCCUAUUUGAAAGAUACAGUAGAUGAUCUUAAUAUUUUUUUUUCAAAAUAGAAUGGGAUAAAUCCUAUAUUUUGGUCACAAGUGACGUAUCUUCAUUAUAUACAUCUAUCCCUCACGAUCUGGAUGUCAAGUGGUAAAAGGUUGUUUAAGUCAAGAAAAUGUUC